GAUGAAGAACGUAGCGAAAUGCGAUACGUAAUGUGAAUUGCAGAAUUCAGUGAAUCAUCGAGUCUUUGAACACACAUUGCGCCCCCUGGUAUUCCGGGGGGCAUGCCUGUCCGAGCGUCAUUGCUGCCCUCAAGCACGGCUUGUGUGUUGGGCCUCCGUCCUCCUCCCGGGGGACGGGCCCGAAAGGCAGCGGCGGCACCGCGUCCGGUCCUCGAGCGUAUGGGGCUUCGUCACCCGCUCUUGUAGGCCCGGCCGGCGCUUGCCGACACAUCAAUCUUUUUUCCAGGUUGACCUCGGAUCAGGUAGGGAUACCCGCUGAACUUAAGCAUAUCAAUAAGCGGAGGA
rnacentral:misc_RNA from 1 species